GCGCCCUUGUGUAGCGGUAACACACAAUCUACUUCUAAGACAAUACACCUUGCCUUAGAUUGGGUUCGGGGUUCGACUCCCCGAGGGCGCA